rnacentral:rRNA from 1 species
UACGUAGGGUGCAAGCGUUGUCCGGAAUUACUGGGCGUAAAGGGUGCGUAGGCGGUUCGUUAAGUCUGUCGUGAAAUCCCCGGGCUCAACCUGGGAAUGGCGAUGGAUACUGGCGAGCUAGAGUGUGUCAGAGGAUGGUGGAAUUCCCGGUGUAGCGGUGAAAUGCGUAGAGAUCGGGAGGAACAUCAGUGGCGAAGGCGGCCAUCUGGGACAACACUGACGCUGAAGCACGAAAGCGUGGGGAGCAAACAGG